CCCACACCCAUGUGUAUAGGACCCCAAAGGAUCACCAUUAAAUUUGGCACAGAUCUCUAGAAAAGUCAAAUCUUACACCCAUGUGAUAAUUUUUCUAGAGAUCUGUGCCAAAUUUAAUAGUGAUCCUUUGGGAUCCUACACACAUGGGUGUGGA
rfam:Amborella trichopoda AMTR_V1.0_contig_33587, whole genome shotgun sequence.